UGGGGAAUUUUGCGCAAUGGGGGAAACCCUGACGCAGCAACGCCGCGUGGAGGAUGAAAUAUCUUGGUAUGUAAACUCCUUUCGAUGGGGAAGAUUAUGACGGUACCCAUAGAAGAAGCCCCGGCUAACUUCGUGCCAGCAGCCGCGGUAAUACGAGGGGGGCAAGCGUUGUUCGGAUUUAUUGGGCGUAAAGGGUGCGUAGGCGGUUUGGCAAGUCUUAUGUGAAAUCUUCGGGCUCAACCCGAAGCCUGCAUAAGAAACUGCCGGGCUUGAGUAUGGGAGAGGUGAGUGGAAUUUCCGGUGUAGCGGUGAAAUGCGUAGAUAUCGGAAGGAACACCUGUGGCGAAAGCGGCUCACUGGACCAUAACUGACGCUGAUGCACGAAAGCUAGGGGAGCAAACAGGAUUAGAUACCCUGGUAGUCCUAGCCCUAAACGAUGAUUGCUUGAUGUGGCAGGUACCCAAUCCUGCCGUGUCGAAGCUAACGCGAUAAGCAAUCCGCCUGGGGAGUACGGUCGCAAGGCUG
rnacentral:rRNA from 1 species